GAUGAACGCUAGCGGCAGGCUUAACACAUGCAAGUCGAGGGGCAGCAUGAGGGUUAGCAAUAACCCUUGAUGGCGACCGGCGCAAGGGUGCGUAACGCGUGAGCAACUUGCCCGUUUCAGGGGGAUAACCGGUGGAAACGCCGACUAAUACCCCAUGGUGAUGGUUUGAGGCAUCUCUUUCCAUCUAAAGAAUUUCGGAAACGGAUAGGCUCGCGUGACAUUAGCUAGAUGGUGAGGUAACGGCUCACCAUGGCGACGAUGUCUAGGGGUUCUGAGAGGAAGGUCCCCCACACUGGAACUGAGACACGGUCCAGACUCCUACGGGAGGCAGCAGUGAGGAAUAUUGGUCAAUGGUCGAAGGACUGAACCAGCCAUGCCGCGUGAAGGUGACGGCCCUAUGGGUCUUAAACUUCUUUUGUAAGGGAGCAAUAAGAUCUACGUGUAGAUUGAUGAGAGUACCUUACGAAUAAGCAUCGGCUAACUCCGUGCCAG
rnacentral:rRNA from 1 species